GCCGAAAUAGCUCAGUUGGGAGAGCGUUAGACUGAAGAUCUAAAGGUCCCUGGGUUCGAUCCGCGGUUUCGGCA